AGAAAAUGAAAAGACUAAAAACACGAAGCAGGAAAGAAAGCUCCAGAACCUCAUCUUCCUUGUUCAAAGCAAACUAAAGCCAGCUAAAUACUCUAAACUUUUGUAAAACUUUCUGCCGAAAGGAUAGCAUGCAGGUAAACGCCACAAAGCUUAGGGAAAGUAACAACGGUGGAGAGAAGAGAUAAACAUGAAUACCGUCGAUUAUAGGACAAAUCGUUCCGAUACGCCUCAGCCCGGAUCAGCCCAUCGUCGAUCACCAUCAACUAGUGGAAUAAUAGCGUCAGGUACCUCCUCAAUCCAGUAGAGACAAGUCCUGUGCUUGAAAGCCUCCUUGGUCAAAGAAUAAACCACUAUAUUAUUCUUUUCUCUAUGAACAUGGGAAAAAAGGCAUCUAUUAAAAUUAGGGAUGAGAUUUCUCAAAUCAAGCACAAAUGCACUUGUAUUAGAAUGAUCCUCCAUCUUCGAUCCAAAUCUCUGAAUAACAAUUUUUUAAUCCCCUUCCAGAAUAACCCAUCUAAACCCCAUGCCAUACGCAAAAUGAAGAGCCUGAAGAUCGGCGAGAGCCUCAGCAGUGCAGCGGUCUAAAAUGAGUGCAUGCACCCAUCACCAACCCAUUUUGAUUUUUUACUACAACGCCUGUCUGUCGAUGAUUCAUGUCUUGUGUUACAAAAACCAGCAUCAAAAUUUAUCUUUACAAAGGGUUCCACAGCAGCCUCCCAAUGGCCAAUCUCUCUAACGGUACAGGGAGCCACUCGACUGUUAAGCUCAUCCAGCUCACGUGAAUAGG
rnacentral:lncRNA from 1 species